ACUAUUUGUAGCACCUGGAUUGUUUCUUUAAAGAUGAAAGGUCUUGCCCUCUAGUUCCUUCUCAUCCCUCUGGCUUGGAAAUGGCAAUGGCUGUGUGUAGUUGUGGACACAUGUAUUGACGUAAACAGCCCAUCCGCUUGGUUCCUGGACAGCUUCUGAGGAGGGGAAGCAGCUUGCUAAGGCUUGUAGCAGAGACUUCAUGGUGGGAAAUACACACUGGUGAAUGA
rnacentral:lncRNA from 1 species